GGACAGAAAAAACACCAGUCAGAAGGGCAUGUAAGUUACAGCCAGGAAAAGUCAGGCAUUCAUUGUGCAGUUCCAAUCCUGAUGGAAAGUGAAGUCAGAGAAGGAAAGUUUGUGCAAUUUUGUGUGACCUUGGGCAAAUGACUUUUCCUUUUUGUGCCUCAGUUUCCUCACUUGUAAAAUGAGAACUAUAAUAGAACCUACUUCAUGGGGUUGCUUUGAGCAUCAAAGAAAUAAUGUAUGCAAAACACUUAGAGUAGUACCCAGCACUUAGGAAGUAGUCAAUAAAUUUUAGCUAUAAAUAAUAAUAAUUGUUAGUAGCAUUAAGUGACUCCAGAACACAUGAGGUAAAGAGAAGCUAUAGCUUCUUUAUGUAUGCCCAGAGCUUGUUCCAAGUGUGUUGGGUACCAGAGCCCAUGUGGUAAAACAAAUAUUAGAUCUCAGCAUGUAUGCUGGUUAUUAGUUAUAAUCUUCUUGUUUUUUUAAAGAUUGUCUAAGAACUGCCAGUGGAGGUUUAGUUAGUAUUAGCCAAGAAAAAAAUACUACUCUGUAUUAGCUUAGGUUGCUAUUGAAAAAUACCAUGGAUUGGGCAGCUUAAAUAGUAGAUACUUAUUUCUCACAUUUCUGGAGUCUGGGAAGUGCAAGGUCAAGGUACCCACAGAUCUGGUGUCUGAUGAGGAUCCUCUUUCUGAUUUUCAGCAUUCCUGCCUUCUUGCUGCAUCCUCACAUGGUAGAAAGAGGCAGCGCUAAUGUUUUUUCCUCUUCUUAUAAGGGCACUAACCUGAUCCUGGGGAGCUCCAUCCUCAUGACCUCAUGUAAACCUAGUUAUCUCCCAAAAUGCUAUUUUGUAUCAGGCACCAUUUUUGUUGCUGGGUAAUAUUGAAGAAAAGGUACUCAAAGCUCCCCCAAAGAAGCUCAAAUUAUAUUGUGAGGUGGGGGCAUAGGGCUGAUAAAAAACUUACUGACAAAUAAACAAAUAUAAAGGUAAAGUAAGUAUUUAAGUAGAGCGAUGUAGAGGGUUGUGUCUCCUUAGUUGGAGUGGUUUGUGCCAAGUUUACACAUAUGCUGAAUCCAGAGCGAUGAGAAGGAAGUGGCCAUCAAAAGAAGCAGGGGGAGAGCAUUACAAGCAGAACAAAGAAUGGCCAUUGCAAAGACCCUGGGGUAGCUAGCAGUCUCUUCUGCUAGGAGAGGCUGAAAAAAGACACAAUCCUUAGAAAUUCAAUUCUCCCAGGAUUGUUUACAGGUUUACCAGCUGUCUCUUUGAUGGAGAAGCUAAAUUAUAUGACUGUGCAGAUUUCUUUCCAAACCAUACCAUACAUCUCUGCUCUGCUGCAAUGCCACUGAAUGCACUAUCCCCCUGCCUCAGUGCUUUGACAGCAGUAUUCUCCCUGGAAUGAAUCCUUUCUUUCUAACCUUCCUGGAAUAAAUGCUUUCUUUCUAACCUUCCUUUAAAGUUCAAUGUCUUGUCCAAGACUUACAUAUUUCUUUUGGGCAGUUUUUUUUACAGAAAUAUUUCUUUUGGACAGUUUAUGCUAGAAAUUUUAGUGUAUUUAAAGUACGUAUUUAAAAAAACUCUUCUGCAGAAAGCAUACCAUCUAGCCAGAAGGAGAGAAAACACUUAGAACUGUUAGAGAACAGUAAAGGGCACACUACUGAUAACAAUGGGCGUUUAGGCAACAGGAUUCUGAAAUUUCUCUUCUUCAGCUCCUCUUCCUAAUGACCAUGUAGCUAUUCUAGCUUUAUUAGUCAUGUAUCAUCUUCCUCAAAAAAAAGGAAACAUAUCCAAGAUGUAUUUAGGUUUGUACCUUUCAGAGUUUCUUAAACAGAACAUAGGAUUUUCCAGGUUCCUUAAGUAGUGCCCUACAAGUAAAUCUAUCUGUUACAUGUGUAAUAAGCCAGGACCAGGAAAAGUAAAUAUUAAGUGCCUUUAUUACAGUUCAUGAAAAUUGUAAGUGUUUAAACAGGCAUUUGAUGAGGCUUUUGAAAGACAACUACAGCAAAGGCAAAUGGCAUGUAAAUGAUGUUAAAUUUCAAGAUCUGUUUGAAAACUAUAAACAGAAACCUGGUCUAUACCAUAGUGAUAUCAAGCAGGUUGUUUGAGGGACUUUGAAAAUCCUUGCUCUCCCCAUAUCCAUUGAUUUUUCAAAUGAACUAUAGUAAACCCUGCUUCAAAGCUUCAAGCUAAGUCUCCAUUUUUUGUUUGUUUGUUUGUUUGUUUGUUUGUUUGUUUUUAGGGCCACACCUGAGGCAUAUGGAAGUUCCCAGGCUAGGGGUUGAAUCAGAGCUAUGGUGCUGGCCUACACCACAGCCACAGCAAUGCAGGAUCUGAGCCAUGUCUGUGACCUACACCACAGUAUACGUCAAUGCCAGAUCCUUAACCCACUGAGAGAGGCCAGGGAUUGAACCUGCAUCCUCAUGAAUCCUAGUCAGGUUCAUUAGCCAUGGAGCCAUGAAGGGAAUGCCUAAGUCUCCAUCUUCUGACUAGAUAACUGCCCAUAAGCUCUUUUCUUAUAGAAAUCUAGAACUGCCACUGAGUCUGCAUAACAUAAAACUUAUGAAAAAUAAUUGUCUCAGCAGAAAACUGAAGCAUUUUCUGAUGGAGAGGAUUCAAAAAAAAUACUUACCUACCAAAGCAGAUUUUAACUCUGGUGUGAAAAGAGAUGAUUCUGGAGAGUUUUCCUACUGCUUUGAAGUUGUGUUUAUUACCAUUUUACUGUUUUUCUUUUAAUCCCACAUUUUGUAUAAGAUCUUUAUCCUGCCAAACAAGUUUUGCUGACCAUAUUACAUUUUAACCAUCCAACUUUCACAGUAGAGGGACAAUGACUAAAGCCCUGACCUUGGCCAGAUGAGUUUAGGAAAUAUGUAGGACUAGAAGGGCAAGAGUGGAGUAGAGUAGAAUAAUGGCAAGUGUUAAAACUGAUAAAGCAGACAAUCCUCAGCUCUCCUCUUUGAGUCUCCCUAACAGUUGUAUCCUUCUGUCAAAGCAUUAGUAAAAAAUGUAGAAUAAUAAGUGAAGGACAAAUGAAUGAUUUCACCUAGUACUCAAUACAAUAAUUAAAUCGAAAAACAUAGACCUUUUGGUUCUCUAGAAGAAUUUCUGAGACGGCCUCACUGCCUGGUGAUCCUCUUCUCUCUCAGUCAUUGGCCACUCCCUCACUUCUCUCUGCACCCCGCAGAGUUCAGUAGAGUUAUUCCUCUCUCUGUUUUCUCUCUACUGUGGAUAAUUUCCUUCUUCUGUGUUAGGAAACCCAGGCACAACCAGAAGAGGUAUAUUUUAUCCUACCCAGAGUACCAAAAAACCAUUUUCUUUUUUCCCCCCAAAAUUUCUCUUUGCAAAGAAAUUAAGUCCAACCAGAUACUAAUAUUGCUCUUGAAGAGGGGACCAGUGGUCUUGAAGAAGUGAAUUAGGAAGAAAUCUGGAGAGAGAUCAACAAACAAGCAGACAGACAAGCAAUGGGACUGCAAUGCUUAAUUGAGCAAAUGUUAAUAUCUUAGUGGAAUAUCCUGAGCAAUAGAGACUCUGGUCUGUGCAAAAGAGGCAGUUUGUUACUCUACCCAAACCUCAUGCAAUCUUUUUUUGCAUGCUUUGUGUUUAAAAAAAAUUUUCACAUGUACCUUUGAGCUGGAUGCUUAAUUUCUAAGACAUGGAGUCAGAAUUUCUAUACCUCAUUUCCAGUGGUCAGGUUUGAAUUCACUCCAGAACAUUGGGAACCUGGGGAAGUUGGAGAACAGAGCAGAGGGAUGACCAUUUAGGAAGGAUGGAAUUAAUCCUCUUUCCACUUGUGACCCAACCUCCCAGACAGACAGAGAGAGAGAGAGCAUUAAAUAGCCUUUCAGGAGAAAAUGAGAACACUUAAAUUCACUUGCCUGAAAAUAUUCAAUAUUUGGCAUUUUUCAUAUGACUUUCCUUUUUGAUUGUCUUGCUUUGAUUAUUAUUUAUUGACUUACUUUUAGCAAUUUCCAUUUAUCCUCUGUGUUUCUUUUUGGUGCAUUACUUAAAUAGCUCUGAAAUUAUAACAUAUUGUGCUAAAAGAAAAUGGCAAUUUCAAUUUGCCCAUGUAGUGAACAUAAAUUCCAAGGACAAUAAAUUGUCAUAAUCAUUUAAAAACUCAGGAAUAUGGAAAUUCAACAACAGGGACUUCUGUGACUUAGACUUUCUGUAUUAUACAUUUUAAUGCUAACAUCAAUUUCAAGAUGAAGCUAUAAAAGUAUAGCAUUUGCAUGCUUUUACUCUCUUUAAGCAUAUGACAUAAAUUAUAGGAAAAAGGAAUAGUUAUAUCUGCUUAAAGAAUGAGCAAGGCAUGUGAUACUAAGAAGUAACAUAAGUCAAGUUACUAAUUCCAUAUUUUCUUUAUUAGAUUUUGUGUCCCAGAAGUUUCACCUAAUGACUUCUUCAGAGUUCAAAAUUUAUCACAGAAAUUGUAUCUGACCUUUCUUUUUCUCUUGUUGCCAUUAAGGAGUUGAGAG
rnacentral:lncRNA from 1 species